rnacentral:rRNA from 1 species
CAAACCAAAGCUGGCGACCGGCGCACGGGUGAGUAACACGUAUCCAACCUGCCUCAUACUCGGGGAUAGCCUUUCGGAAGAAAGAUUAAUAUCCGAUAGCAUAUAUUUCCCGCAUGGGUUUUAUAUUAAAGAAAUUCGGUAUGAGAUGGGGAUGCGUUCCAUUAGUUUGUUGGGGGGUAACGGCCCACCAAGACUACGAUGGAUAGGGGUUCUGAGAGGAAGGUCCCCCACAUUGGAACUGAGACACGGUCCAA